GACGAACGCUGGCGGCGUGCUUAACACAUGCAAGUCGAACGAUGAAGCUGGAGCUUGCUCCGGUGGAUUAGUGGCGAACGGGUGAGUAACACGUGAGCAAUCUGCCCUUGACUCUGGGAUAACUGCGGGAAACUGUAGCUAAUACCGGGUACGAGGCUCGAAGGCAUCUUCGGGUCUGGAAAGAAUUUCGGUCAAGGAUGAGCUCGCGGCCUAUCAGCUUGUUGGUGAGGUAAUGGCUCACCAAGGCGACGACGGGUAGCCGGCCUGAGAGGGUGACCGGCCACACUGGGACUGAGACACGGCCCAGACUCCUACGGGAGGCAGCAGUGGGGAAUAUUGCACAAUGGGCGAAAGCCUGAUGCAGCAACGCCGCGUAAGGGAUGAAGGCCUUCGGGUUGUGAACCUCUUUUAGCAGGGAAGAAGCGAAAGUGACGGUACCUGCAGAAAAAGCACCGGCUAACUACGUGCCAGCCGCCGCCGUAA
rnacentral:rRNA from 1 species